rfam:Thermoplasmatales archaeon A-plasma AMDT1_APLC00007, whole genome shotgun sequence.
CCCGGCUUAGCUCAGUUGGUAGAGCGGCGGACUGUAGAGGGAAUCCACGGCAUGGAAAACCGCCGUAAUCCGCAGGUCUCUGGUUCAAAUCCGGAAGCCGGGA